GGGUCAGUAGGUUGGUCGUGCCACCGGUACGUACUGGUCUCACUGAUUCCUCCUUCCUGAAGAACCGUAAUGCUAUUAAUUUGGUGUCGCGGGGAAACAGGACUGUUACUUUGAAAAAAUUAGAGUGUUUAAAGCAAGCUAACGCUUGAAUACAUUAGCAUGGAAUAAUGAAAUAGGACGAUCGAUCCUAUUUUGUUGGUUUCUAGGAUUGACGUA
rnacentral:rRNA from 1 species